AUAUUACUUCCUCCGUUCUAAAUUACUUGUCGCAGAAAUGGAUGUAUCUAGAAGUCGCAGAAAUGGAUGUAUAUAGAACUAAAAUACAUCUAGAUACAUCCAUACCUGCGACAAGUAAUUCGGAACGAAGGGAGUACUGG
rfam:Triticum aestivum genome assembly, contig: Triticum_aestivum_CS42_TGACv1_scaffold_378490_5AL